CGAACGGGUGAGUAAUGCGUGACCAACCUGCCCCAUGCUCCAGAAUAGCUCUUGGAAACGGGUGGUAAUGCUGGAUGCUCCAACUUGACGCAUGUCUUGUUGGGAAAGUGUUUAGUGGCAUGGGAUGGGGUCGCGUCCUAUCAGCUUGUAGGCGGGGUAAUGGCCCACCAGGCUUCGACGGGUAGCCGGCCUGAGAGGGCGGACGGCCACAUUGGGACUGAGAUACGGCCCAGACUCCUACGGAGGCAGCAGC
rnacentral:rRNA from 1 species